rnacentral:rRNA from 1 species
AAUUGCAUUUGUGACUGCACGGCUAGAGUGUGUCAGAGGGGGGUAGAAUUCCACGUGUAGCAGUGAAAUGCGUAGAGAUGUGGAGGAAUACCGAUGGCGAAGGCAGCCCCCUGGGAUAACACUGACGCUGAGGCACGAAAGCGUGGGGAGCAAACAGGAUUAGAUACCCUGGUAGUCCACGCCCUAAACGAUGUCUACUAGUUGUCGGGUCUUAAUUGACUUGGUAACGCAGCUAACGCGUGAAGUAGACCGCCUGGGGAGUACGGUCGCAAGAUUAAAACUCAAAUAAAUUGACGGGA